rnacentral:rRNA from 1 species
AUUGAACGCUGGCGGCAUGCCUUACACAUGCAAGUCGAACGGUAACGGGUCCUUCGGGAUGCCGACGAGUGGCGAACGGGUGAGUAAUAUAUCGGAACGUGCCCAGUAGUGGGGGAUAACUGCUCGAAAGAGCAGCUAAUACCGCAUACGACCUGAGGGUGAAAGGGGGGGAUCGCAAGACCUCUCGCUAUUGGAGCGGCCGAUAUCAGAUUAGCUAGUUGGUGGGGUAAAGGCCUACCAAGGCAACGAUCUGUAGUUGGUCUGAGAGGACGACCAGCCACACUGGGACUGAGACACGGCCCAGACUCCUACGGGAGGCAGCAGUGGGGAAUUUUGGACAAUGGGCGCAAGCCUGAUCCAGCAAUGCCGCGUGCAGGAAGAAGGCCUUCGGGUUGUAAACUGCUUUUGUCAGGGAAGAAAUCUUCUGGGCUAAUACCCCGGGAGGAUGACGGUACCUGAAGAAUAAGCACCGGCUAACUACGUGCCAGCAGCCGCGGUAA